UGUGUUUGCGGUGUCAAGAUAUUUAGGAGUAUCAUUGACCAAGAGCUGGGAUGAAAUUACAAAAAGGAUGAAAAUACCGCAGGGGAAAGUUGGAAAAGUUAAUGAUUUUUAAAGUCAGAGAUGGAAUGAAUGUGAACACUAGAUCAGACCUGCCAGGGGGAUCUGCAGCUACGCCAAGCCCAGCAAGGCUUCACUUAGCUGGGUAACAUCUGGUGUGGCCUCCCCUGCCUCCAGGACUUCAUGCAGAGUCUCAUCUGCGGGACAGUGAGGAUCAGUUUGGCCGUACUCCUCUGAUGUAUUGUGUGCUGGCCACACAACAGCUGGCUUGACAGCUUGGACUAUACAGAGGUGCUGCAUAAGGCCGGCGCAGCCUCAACAAGACUGACCGCAGUCAGAGGAUCGCACUGCACAGAAGUAAACUGGACAGUUGGAAUGAGACAAGAGAAGAGGAUUGGAAUGGAGAGUAGAGUGGAGAAGGAAGAAGAAGAGUGUGAGGAGAGGAAGACAGGGAGGGACGGGAUUGAUGGGUAACACUCUGACAUCUAGAUCAAUAAGAGCUGUAGCUCAGGGAUUAACACUCUAAUUGGGCUGGGAAUAGAGACUGAGUACCCUGAAACACACACACACACAUAUGAGGGCUCUCCCUGGAAUGUUUUACACGGGAGCUAAGGAUGCCUGUGAGGAUACUUGAUGAGAGGGGAGGGUCAUUCGCUCUCAGACACAUUCAGACCCUUUAGAUUGAUAAACAGCUGUCUCUAACCCAAACUGUGGCCCAAGUUUAACAUCCCUGGGGGACACAAAGUACUUCUUUCAUCAUUUGUUUGUAUUAUUUUGCUGGCU